GCGGAGCGCUUUACACAUGCAAGUCGAACGGUAACGCGGAGAGAAGCUUGCUUCUCUCCGGCGACUAGUGGCGAGCGGGUGAGUAAUACAUCGGAACGUGUCCGCUCGUGGGGGACAACCAGCCGAAAGGUUGGCUAAUACCGCAUGAGUUCUACGGAAGAAAGAGGGGGACCCGCAAGGGCCUCUCUCGAGCGGAGCGGCCGAUGACUGAUUACCCGGUUGGUGAGGUAACGGCUCACCAAAGCAACGAUCAGUAUCUGGUCUGAAAGGACAACCAGCCACACUGGGACUGAGACACGGCCCAGACUCCUACUGGAGGCAGCAGUGGGGAAUUUUGGACAAUGGGCGCGAGCCUGAUCCAGCUAUUCCGCGUGUGGGAUGAAGGCCCUCGGGUUGUAAACCACUUUUGUAGACAACGAAGAGACAACCUUUUAAAAAAUGGUGUUGCUGACGGUACUCUAAAAAUAAGCACCGGCUAACUACGUGCCAGCAGCCGCGGUAAUACCUAGAGGUGCUAGCGUUAAUCGGAAUUACUGGGCGUAAAGGGUGCGCAAGCGGUUGAGUAAGACACAUGUGAGAUCCCCCAUCUUAACUCGGGAAUGGCAUAUGUGACUGCUCUACUAGAGUGUGUCAGAGGGAGGUGGAAUUCCACGUGUAGCAGUGAAAUGCGUAGAUAUGUGGAAGAACACCUAUGGCAAAAGCGACCUCCUGGGACAUAACUGACGCUCAGGCACGAGAGCGUGGAGAGCAAACAGGAUUAGAUACCCUGGUAGUACACGCCGUAAACGAUGUUAAGUAGUUGUUGGGAAGUAAAAUUCUCAGUAACGCAGCCAACGAGAGAAGUUAACGGCUUGGGAAGUACGGUCGCAAGACUAAAACUCAAAGGAAUUGACGGGGACCCGCACAAGCGGUGGAUGAUGUGGAUUAAUUCGAUGCAACGCGAAAAACCUUACAUACCCUUGACAUGUCAGGAAGAUCUUGUAAUGAGAGUGUGCCCGCAAGGGAGCGUGAACACAGGUGCUGCAUGGCUGUCGUCAGCUAGUGUCGUGAGAUGUUGGGUUAAGUCCCGCAACGAGCGCAACCCUUGUCAAUAGUUGAUACGAAAGGGCACUAUAGUGAGACUCCCGGUGACAAACCGGAGGAAGGUGGGGAUGAUGUCAAGUCCUCAUGGCCUUUAUGGGUAGGGCUUCACACGUCAUACAAUGGUCGGAACAGAGGGCAGAGAAGUCGUGAGAGGGAGCCAAUCCCAGAAAACCGAUCGUAGUCCGGAUUGCAGUGUGCAACUCGAAUGCAUGAAGUGGGAAUCGAUAGUAAUCGCGGAUCAGCAUGCCGCGGUGAAUACGUUCCCGGGUCUUGUACACACCGCCCGUCAACCAAUGGGAGUGGUGUUUACCAGAAGUCGUUAGCCUAACCGCAAGGAGGGCGGCGACCACGGUGAGCCCCGUGACUAAUGUUAAGUCAUAACAA
rnacentral:rRNA from 1 species